AGCUUUGCAUAGUGGUAGUGUCAUAGCCAAUGCAGUUUUCCGAGGCUCAUUGUUGCUACUUGAAAGCUUUUCCCAAUACCUCACCAUGACGACUUGAAAUGCAGUCAGCAUUGGCAAUUAAAAAAAUUAUUUUU